rnacentral:rRNA from 1 species
AUGGAGAAAUACAUCGACCAGUGCCGAAUGUUCAUUUUCCACACCCCUCUGCAUUAUGGAUGGUGCUGUUAUAUUUUAGAUAUGCUGAGGAAGAGGAUUGUUGUUCUAGAUCCGCAAGCAGGCCCAUUUGGAUUUACAUCCGACAGAGUCAAAUUCCAUGAACAAAUCAGUCAUGCUAUCCAUGGGGCAUUCUUCAAAUGUGUGCAAACUUUAUUCUCAAGUUGGCCAUGCACUUCUGAUGGAUGGACCAGAGAGUUUCCUACUUUGAUGAUAGAAAAAAUUGCAAGUGAGGAGUCCGCCAUCUAUUCGUUAUUCAUGGCAAGGCACUAUGAGGCGAGACACUACGGAACCCGACCACGAAGGAAAACAUAUGUGCCUAUCGCCGAGCCAUCCUCCAAGACGUUCUGA